rnacentral:rRNA from 1 species
GUUUGAUCCUGGCUCAGAGCGAACGUUAGCGGCAGGCUUAACACAUGCAAGUCGAGCGACAAAGGGGCUUCGGCCCUGAGUAGAGCGGCGGACGGGUGCGUAACACGUGGAUAAUCUGCCUCGUGGCGGGGGAUAACAGUCCGAAAGGACUGCUAAUACCGCAUGUCAGGUCGGAAACCCCGGUUUCUGACGAAAAAGAGGGCGCCCGCAAGGGGCUCUCACCACGAGAUGAGUCCGCGGCCCAUCAGCUAGUUGGCGGUGUAAUAGACCACCAAGGCUAAGACGGGUAGCUGGUCUGAGAGGAUGACCAGCCACACUGGGACUGAGACACGGCCCAGACUCCUACGGGAGGCAGCAGUGGGGGAAUAUUGGACAAUGGGCGAAAGCCUGAUCCAGCCAUGCCGCGUGAGUGAUGAAGGUCUUCGGAUCGUAAAGCUCUGUGGGAAGGGACGAAAAAGCCUAACCUAAUACGUUAGGUCUUGACGGUACCUUCUUAGCAAGCACCGGCUAACUCCGUGCCAGCACG